rnacentral:rRNA from 1 species
UACGGAGGGGGCUAGCGUUGUUCGGAAUUACUGGGCGUAAAGCGCACGUAGGCGGCUUUGUAAGUUAGAGGUGAAAGCCCGGGGCUCAACUCCGGAAUUGCCUUUAAGACUGCAUCGCUAGAAUUGUGGAGAGGUAAGUGGAAUUCCGAGUGUAGAGGUGAAAUUCGUAGAUAUUCGGAAGAACACCAGUGGCGAAGGCGGCUAUCUGGACAACAACUGACACUGAGGCACGAAAGCGUGGGGAGCAAACAGG